CCUACAGAUGGCGGCUUCCCACAAACACAACAGCGCUUUCAUCAUGGCGUGUAUCGAAUAAAUUUCUACAAUGGCUGACACACGCCCACCUGAUGGAAAAACUGGAAGCAUGUAGUACAGAUCACUCAGAAGACUUUUUAAAGACACCUAUCUGUGUUUCAUCAGUAUAAAAUGUCAAGUUUCCUCAAGCAGCACAUCACCUCUAUGGAUUGGAUGGAAUAAUAGUCUGAAGCUACAAAUCGGACUCUGCGCCCAUCAUACACUGUGAUUUUCUCCGACUGCCCAAAAUCUGCAGACUGUGUGUUUUUUCUUUACUUUUAGUGAAAGAAUUAAUUCCACUUGGCGCUCCACGACGUGACAGUGUAGAUG